UACGGAGGAUCCAAGCGUUAUCCGGAUUUAUUGGGUUUAAAGGGUGCGUAGGCGGCUUAUUAAGUCAGGGGGUGAAAGACGGUGGCUCAACCAUCGCAGUGCCCCUUGUAUAUGAGCUUUGAAUACACUAGAGGUAGGCGGAAUGUGACAAGUAGCGGUGAAAAUGCAUAGAUAUGUCACAGAACACCGAUUGCGAAGGCAGCUUACUAUGGUGUGAUUGACGCUGAGGCACGAAAAGCGUGGGGGAUCAAACAGG
rnacentral:rRNA from 1 species